rnacentral:lncRNA from 1 species
UGAUCUCCCUGGAAACAGAGGAAAUGCGGUAACAACAACAACAUACCCAGUAUAUUCCCAUAUUUGGGGUCUGGGGAUAGUGUGUACGCAGACCUUACCCCUACCUAGUGAAGGUAGAGACGUUGUUUCCAAUAGAAAGGUGGUAAGUUUUCUCAUAAUUGGUGCUUAACAUUGGGUUGGAAAUGUUGCAUUUGGGUUUGAUGUCUUCUUAUUGAAAAGAAAAGGUAUACAGAUCAUGCUAAUAUCAAAAGAAAAAGACUAAAUUGAUGCUUCUUUGUGGCAAGGAUAUACUAAAGGCUAAUAAACCAGUCUUGGUUUUAGAAAUUGUGCUAGUCAUCCCCUUGUCAGCUAAUCAUGUCUAAUGCGCAAGUUUUCUCUUCUAAAGAAGUGAUAAAAAUGCAUGUUACUUCCUUAAAGUUCUAUGAACACAUUAAUAUUAAGGCAUAAAGUCGUAAAACAUGGGAUUAAUACAUACUUUACUCCCCAAACUUGGACAAAAAUCCUUUACUUUUCUUUGUGUCUAUUUUCCGUAGCAAAAGCCCCACGAAAAUGCCAUGUGGCAUGUGCGUCACUGCAUCACUUACCAGCCCAAGCAAAGCGUGCAAGGGUUAAAAAUCUGUCAAAAUCCCAUUUUUUAAAAGAUUUUUCAGCUUGUUUUCUUCUUUUUAGAUGCUACCUCUUUUUUGACACUUCUUUUUUCUUUUUUUGCCUUAUUGUAUAUUCUUUUCCUUUUCUUUAUUUUCUCUUUCCUUCUUUCUUUUUCUACUCCAAUUGUUCUUAUCCUCUGAACUCUCCGAUAUACUGUUGCUCCAGUAAGCAGCCAACUAUAGGGUGCACACUUUACUGUUAGCCACAUGAGCUCAACCAUGUUGAACGCAGCAACUAGAGGUGCAUGCUCUACUGUUAGCCACAUGAACUCAACCACGGUCCAGUUAAGCAGAAGCUCUCUUGGUCACUUGAUUGCCGAUAUUUCUCAGAGGGAAGUUAGGAAGAAGGAACGAGAAAGCAGGGAAAAGAUACAAAAGAUAAGGAUAAUGAAAUAGAUCCUUUGUUUCUCAUGCAUAUUUUGCAUUCUUUUUGGUUUUAAAUCUGUUAAUGGGAAAAUGGGUUUGUUACCGGCAAAGUUUGUCGAGCAAAAGUGAAGGUAGAAGGCCCACAGGGUUAUGGGAAUGAAAAUAGAGAAAGAUUUCUACAGAGACUGCCAAGAUUUGGUCCAGCCAGAAUUUCAACCAAGAAAAUGACAAUGGGAAAAGGGGUUUUCGCCGGUAAAUUUGGCUUGGAAAAAUGGUUGAAAGCUAGCAAGGAUGGACCUUUUUUCAUUUUUUUCCCAUGACGUGUCAUGAGUGGUGCGUAUCAUGUGCUUCCAAGAGGGAGUGGUCGUAUGUCAUCCAGGAGGGUCUUAGACAUGGAUUUUGCAGAAUUAAGAAGGAUGCCACGAAGAAAAGGUGUGUAAAUGGGAUUUCUGUGCAAGUUGGAGGACUAAGAGCCCAUUUGGAUUGGUUUUAAAAAAGUGGCUUUUAAGUAUAAGUGCUUAAAAGUACUUUUAAGUGCUGGAGUUUGUUUUAUAAAUAAGCAGUUAAGUGUUUGGAUAAAAGUGCUGAAACUUAAAAAAAGUUGUUGAAGUGUUUGGUAAAUAAGUGCUGGUAAGCACUUGUUUCUGUUAAAAUGACUGAAAUAUCCUUAAAGUUGUUAACACUAUAAAGAAAAUAAUUACGAUAAUAUUUUAUUCUAAAUUAAUACAUAUACAAAAAAAUUAUAAUUUAGUUCAUUUUCAAUUUAAAACUGAUUGCCUAAAUAUAAAUUAUUUAUUUAAAUAACAUGCAAUAAUCUAUUAUUUCACCAAAAAAUAUUUUUUCGGCUCAUAGCUUCAAAUUCUUUGUUAAUAGAUAGACUCAUUGAAAAUUUUGAUUUAGAAUAUAGUUUCUCCAAUUUAAAAAAAUGAGGGAUUCAACAGCAAUUUUUUUUUAAAAAAAAUGUUAUGGAACCAAAAAAGAAACUAAAACAAAAUAAUGUAUAUAAAAUAUUAAAUGCAUCAAACAUUUACAAAGCUACAGUUGGCUUUACGUUUACAACUUCAAACAAAUUGAUAAAAUUUUGGGGAAUGGCAGCAGAGAUGACACGGGAUUUAUUAAUUAGUAAGGGAAGGAUAGUUUUGGAUUUAGAAAAAGUAAAAGGGAUAAUAACUCUACAAAGAACAAAACACUAUUUUUCACUCUCAUGAAUCCAAAACCAAAAGAGUUCGGCAGUGAUGGAAUUUGGAAGGCACACAUUGGAAAUGACAAAGGAAAGGAGAAAAAGAAAAGAUUAUGGAAUUUGGAAGGCAGAGAUUGAAAAUGGCGGAGGAAAGGAGAAAAAGAAAAGAUUGGGGUAUUUUGAAAAUUAUACAUAAGUAUCAGGGAUAGCAAUAUAAAAUACUUGGUCAAAGAGGGAUGACUUUUAAGCUAGAAAAAAAAAGUUGGGAUUACCCAACUUAUCACUUUUGGCUUAAUUUGGAUCUUUUGGCUUAAAAGCAUUUGACCUUUAAGCAGAUUUUAAGUUUGCCAAACACCUCAAUAAGCUAAAAAAUGACUUAAAAGCUGGUUUGACCAGCUUUUAAGCCCAUCCAAACAGGCUCUAAUUUAUGCAUUAAGCCUAACUUGAUUUUCUUGUGGGAAACUAGGACUUUACCUUACCAAUGAAAGAAAAAAAAUCUUGAAUUUUCAUUUAGUAAGGCUUAAAUAAUUGGAAUAUUUUUCUCUUUAAAUAUUUAAGUGAGAUAAGAUGAUGAUUAUUUUAUUUUAUUAUUAAAUGUUGUAUCAUUCAUACUUUUGAGUCUGUAUAAAAAUGGUAUGAAAGGAAAUUAUUUUUCCUCCUUUUUCUGUGUGGUCGGCGGAGAUCAGCAUAAACCCAAAAGUAUGAAGAUGUAGAAGCCCACACAGAAAUGCUAGAUAUUUUGGAAAUAAAAGUUAAUUAUUUAUUUUUUUCGUUUUUGGAUAACUGCAAUAUAGAGGGAACAUUAUGACCAAUCGAUGUUUCAUGUGUCAGAAAAAGACAAUAAAUAUCUUUUCUGCAUUGUACAGUGGACAAAAGUGUUGGAGAACUACACCAUACUCAAAUUCGAGUUCAAAUUGAAAGCGAAAUGGUAGAUGCCCUGAGGAUGAAUCUGAAGCCAUUCAGUGAGAUGCAUUGUCGGAGAUGUCUCUCUUCCUUCUUUUUCCCUUCGUCUUUGGUGCAUGAGAGUCUAUGUUACUCAGAUGCGAGUACUCAAUACGAGUGCGGAUAGAGGUUGGAUUCUUCAUCACACAAGUUUUUGGAUUUGGGGUUAUGGAUCUGAGUACAAAUACAGGUGGGAUACUGUCAAUAAAUGUACAUUGAAGCAUAUAUAAGUAUAUAAAAUGAUUAGUAAACCUUAUUGAGCUAAAACUAAUAAAAUAUAAUUCUUAAGAAAUACAUAAUUUUUUAUUCAUAAGAUUUCUCGUGUAAUAGUUAUGCGUUCUCAUACUUUAUAUAACUAUCUACAUAUGAUAUAAACCCAAAACUCAAACCAAGUAGAUGUAGUCAAAGCAUCCAAGGUAAGUUGACCAAAUCCAAUGUGGACCCCUCCUCCUCCACUCACACUCAAAUCAUGUCGGAUCGACAUGGGUGCGGAAGGGAUUUGAAGGGCCCGAGCAACAUAUGUGAGAAUGGAGAGUAACAGGAAUUUUUGAGGGCCCUUCCUAGGAGCUUCUUUGGAGGGUUUGUAGGCUUUUCUUAACGUUAGCUUUAACAUAACUACAAUGGGAUUAGACUAGAGAGCCUCUAUGGUUCUAUUUCCUUCUUAAUUCUCUUAUAUGUUAAUCUGGGAACAUAUUUUUUUGUUUGUUGGUAAUGCGGGGAUGUAUUGUCUUACCUUAUCGCAUCUCUCUUUUCCAUAUCUAUCAAUAAAAUCUUUCCUCCAAGAACUAGCACUGUAAUCUGUUGUUAGUAAGGCUCCAAGUUAAUAAAUCAGCUAAAACCAUAAUAGUAUUAUGCUUUUGAUUUUUCAAUUGGCUUUUCAACUUCUAUUAACUCUACUGUUGUGUGGGCCUGACUUAGCUUAUUCUCUUGUUUUUGGUGAAACUCUUGUUUUUGGUGAACUAUAAUGUCAAGCGCUUAUCCAGGAGCACACCCAUGAUUUUUUCUGGAGCUCAAUACUUGCUUGAUUGUGGAGACCUGGAGAAAUAUCAAGUAUCACUGUAAGUGGUGGAUCUUGAGGAAUUUCUACAACAAUGUGAGUGUCAAGGUAACAGCAAAUUUCCUACCUUAUUUUAUUUUUAAGCUAUGAAUGAAGCUAUAUUGGCUGUUGAUGCUACAUUUUCUUAUUCCAGUUUUCAUGGACCAGAUAUAUCAUAAUAUCACCACGAGACGGCAGGGCCAAGAUAUUUUACAGUGUCAUGGUCCAAGCAUGAAGUUGUUGAAGUCAUUCAUUCAGAGUCCUAGGUUUUAGCUCAAUCUUCACAAAAUGAACUGAGCAAGAGGGAGAACUGACCAAGAGGGAGGUUAAGGGGACUCUGUCCUGAAGACUGAGGGGGCUAACAUGAAGUAGUGGUCUCUUUUUUAUAUUAGUUAUACAAAGAUUAUCGAGGACCACAGUUCAAAUUUCAGUGUAUUCAAAAAGCACUAGGUGAUUUCUUCCCAACUAUCUUAACCUUGUUGGAUAGAGUUAAACGAGUACGGCCAGAGAUAGCAGGAAUUCAGUGGUUAGUCGAGGACACCAGCUAUCAAGAAAAGUUGCAGUGAGAUAUUGUUGGAAAAUUCCCUAGUAUAAUAAUUACGAUUUCAAUUUGGAUUUUUGGCCUAUUUCUAUAACGUCAUUUUUUUCUAAACUCAAGGUAUUAUGCUUAUGAGGAUCUGAUUCAUCAAUGUACUUUUAAAAAAAAGAAGCACGAAUCUGAUUUAUCAAUGUAAUUGCUUUGGUAUGGCUAAUAUUUAGUUGGCCGAGUGUGUUAGCUUCUGAUUUGAGGCUAUGCCAACGUUUUCAUUUGUUCUUCUAGACAUCACUGUAUGUUAUCAAGGGGAACAAGGAUGGAUUGGGG